rnacentral:rRNA from 1 species
UGGCGGACGGGUGAGUAACGCGUGGAAAACCUGCCGUAUACUGGGGGAUAACACUUAGAAAUAGGUGCUAAUACCGCAUAAGCGCACAGCUUCGCAUUGAAGCGGUGUGAAAAACUCUGGUGGUAUACGAUGGUUCCGCGUCUGAUUAGCUAGUUGGUGGGGUAAUGGCCUACCAAGGCAACGAUCAGUAGCCGGCCUGAGAGGGUGAACGGCCACAUUGGGACUGAGACACGGCCCAAACUCCUACGGGAGGCAGCAG